rnacentral:rRNA from 1 species
ACCAACAACCUCGCCACGUUGAAUACACCAGUUCUCGUCAGAUCACUAAAUUUAAGCGACGUCGGGCGUGGUCGGUACUCGGAUGGAUGACCGUCUGGGAGAUCACGUGUUGUUGGUU